UUAAGCGACUAAGCGUACACGGUGGAUGCCCUGGCAGUCAGAGGCGAUGAAGGACGUGCUAAUCUGCGAUAAGCGUCGGUAAGGUGAUAUGAACCGUUAUAACCGGCGAUUUCCGAAUGGGGAAACCCAGUGUGUUUCGACACACUAUCAUUAACUGAAUCCAUAGGUUAAUGAGGCGAACCGGGGGAACUGAAACAUCUAAGUACCCCGAGGAAAAGAAAUCAACCGAGAUUCCCCCAGUAGCGGCGAGCGAACGGGGAGCAGCCCAGAGCCUGAAUCAGUGUGUGUGUUAGUGGAAGCGUCUGGAAAGGCGCGCGAUACAGGGUGACAGCCCCGUACACAAAAAUGCACAUGCUGUGAGCUCGAUGAGUAGGGCGGGACACGUGGUAUCCUGUCUGAAUAUGGGGGGACCAUCCUCCAAGGCUAAAUACUCCUGACUGACCGAUAGUGAACCAGUACCGUGAGGGAAAGGCGAAAAGAACCCCGGCGAGGGGAGUGAAAAAGAACCUGAAACCGUGUACGUACAAGCAGUGGGAGCACGCUUAGGCGUGUGACUGCGUACCUUUUGUAUAAUGGGUCAGCGACUUAUAUUCUGUAGCAAGGUUAACCGAAUAGGGGAGCCGAAGGGAAACCGAGUCUUAACUGGGCGUUAAGUUGCAGGGUAUAGACCCGAAACCCGGUGAUCUAGCCAUGGGCAGGUUGAAGGUUGGGUAACACUAACUGGAGGACCGAACCGACUAAUGUUGAAAAAUUAGCGGAUGACUUGUGGCUGGGGGUGAAAGGCCAAUCAAACCGGGAGAUAGCUGGUUCUCCCCGAAAGCUAUUUAGGUAGCGCCUCGUGAAUUCAUCUCCGGGGGUAGAGCACUGUUUCGGCAAGGGGGUCAUCCCGACUUACCAACCCGAUGCAAACUGCGAAUACCGGAGAAUGUUAUCACGGGAGACACACGGCGGGUGCUAACGUCCGUCGUGAAGAGGGAAACAACCCAGACCGCCAGCUAAGGUCCCAAAGUCAUGGUUAAGUGGGAAACGAUGUGGGAAGGCCCAGACAGCCAGGAUGUUGGCUUAGAAGCAGCCAUCAUUUAAAGAAAGCGUAAUAGCUCACUGGUCGAGUCGGCCUGCGCGGAAGAUGUAACGGGGCUAAACCAUGCACCGAAGCUGCGGCAGCGACACUAUGUGUUGUUGGGUAGGGGAGCGUUCUGUAAGCCUGUGAAGGUGUGCUGUGAGGCAUGCUGGAGGUAUCAGAAGUGCGAAUGCUGACAUAAGUAACGAUAAAGCGGGUGAAAAGCCCGCUCGCCGGAAGACCAAGGGUUCCUGUCCAACGUUAAUCGGGGCAGGGUGAGUCGACCCCUAAGGCGAGGCCGAAAGGCGUAGUCGAUGGGAAACAGGUUAAUAUUCCUGUACUUGGUGUUACUGCGAAGGGGGGACGGAGAAGGCUAUGUUGGCCGGGCGACGGUUGUCCCGGUUUAAGCGUGUAGGCUGGUUUUCCAGGCAAAUCCGGAAAAUCAAGGCUGAGGCGUGAUGACGAGGCACUACGGUGCUGAAGCAACAAAUGCCCUGCUUCCAGGAAAAGCCUCUAAGCAUCAGGUAACAUCAAAUCGUACCCCAAACCGACACAGGUGGUCAGGUAGAGAAUACCAAGGCGCUUGAGAGAACUCGGGUGAAGGAACUAGGCAAAAUGGUGCCGUAACUUCGGGAGAAGGCACGCUGAUAUGUAGGUGAAGUCCCUUGCGGAUGGAGCUGAAAUCAGUCGAAGAUACCAGCUGGCUGCAACUGUUUAUUAAAAACACAGCACUGUGCAAACACGAAAGUGGACGUAUACGGUGUGACGCCUGCCCGGUGCCGGAAGGUUAAUUGAUGGGGUCAGCGCAAGCGAAGCUCUUGAUCGAAGCCCCGGUAAACGGCGGCCGUAACUAUAACGGUCCUAAGGUAGCGAAAUUCCUUGUCGGGUAAGUUCCGACCUGCACGAAUGGCGUAAUGAUGGCCAGGCUGUCUCCACCCGAGACUCAGUGAAAUUGAACUCGCUGUGAAGAUGCAGUGUACCCGCGGCAAGACGGAAAGACCCCGUGAACCUUUACUAUAGCUUGACACUGAACAUUGAGCCUUGAUGUGUAGGAUAGGUGGGAGGCUUUGAAGUGUGGACGCCAGUCUGCAUGGAGCCGACCUUGAAAUACCACCCUUUAAUGUUUGAUGUUCUAACGUUGACCCGUAAUCCGGGUUGCGGACAGUGUCUGGUGGGUAGUUUGACUGGGGCGGUCUCCUCCUAAAGAGUAACGGAGGAGCACGAAGGUUGGCUAAUCCUGGUCGGACAUCAGGAGGUUAGUGCAAUGGCAUAAGCCAGCUUGACUGCGAGCGUGACGGCGCGAGCAGGUGCGAAAGCAGGUCAUAGUGAUCCGGUGGUUCUGAAUGGAAGGGCCAUCGCUCAACGGAUAAAAGGUACUCCGGGGAUAACAGGCUGAUACCGCCCAAGAGUUCAUAUCGACGGCGGUGUUUGGCACCUCGAUGUCGGCUCAUCACAUCCUGGGGCUGAAGUAGGUCCCAAGGGUAUGGCUGUUCGCCAUUUAAAGUGGUACGCGAGCUGGGUUUAGAACGUCGUGAGACAGUUCGGUCCCUAUCUGCCGUGGGCGCUGGAGAACUGAGGGGGGCUGCUCCUAGUACGAGAGGACCGGAGUGGACGCAUCACUGGUGUUCGGGUUGUCAUGCCAAUGGCACUGCCCGGUAGCUAAAUGCGGAAGAGAUAAGUGCUGAAAGCAUCUAAGCACGAAACUUGCCCCGAGAUGAGUUCUCCCUGACCCUUUAAGGGUCCUGAAGGAACGUUGAAGACGACGACGUUGAUAGGCCGGGUGUGUAAGCGCAGCGAUGCGUUGAGCUAACCGGUACUAAUGAACCGUGAGGCUUAACCUU
rnacentral:rRNA from 1 species